AGCCUGUUAGCUCAGCUGGAUUAGAGCGCUACGCUACGGACGUAGAGGUCGGAGGUUCAAAUCCUUCACAGGCUACCA
rnacentral:tRNA from 1 species